rnacentral:rRNA from 1 species
GACGAACGCUGGCGGCGUGCCUAAUACAUGCAAGUAGAACGCUGAAGGAGGAGCUUGCUUCUCUGGAUGAGUUGCGAACGGGUGAGUAACGCGUAGGUAACCUGCCUGGUAGCGGGGGAUAACUAUUGGAAACGAUAGCUAAUACCGCAUAAUAGCAGUUGUUGCAUGACAACUGUUUGAAAGGUGCAAAUGCAUCACUACCAGAUGGACCUGCGUUGUAUUAGCUAGUUGGUGGGGUAAAGGCUCACCAAGGCGACGAUACAUAGCCGACCUGAAAGGGUGAUCGGCCACACUGGGACUGAGACACGGCCCAGACUCCUACGGGAGGCAGCAGUAGGGAAUCUUCGGCAAUGGACGGAAGUCUGACCGAGCAACGCCGCGUGAGUGAAGAAGGGUUUCGGAUCGUAAAGCUCUGUUGUAAGAGAAGAACGAGUGUGAGAGUGGAAAGUUCACACUGUGACGGUAUCUUACCAGAAAGGGACGGCUAACUACGUG